rnacentral:lncRNA from 1 species
CAAAGCCUCAGGUUACUCAGCCACCACACACUGGCCACCUCGGAAGGUGUGUGCACUGGAUACGAAGCCCAGGACCCUCUGAUGGCGCAAACCACGCAGAACACGCCAGCCCAGGGCCUGUGGGGUUAGCGCUGCUAUGGGAACUUGAACUUUCACAUUUCCUGACUGUGCAAGGCAGCGGGUUGGGGAACCAAGCUAGAAUUCUAAUGUGUGACUCUUGUCUCAGACCAGGUUUCUGCAUUUUAAGUUCCUGGAAGAUCAGAGGGGAGUUUGUGAGAGGUGCAGCCCAGACAGAAAGCUGACCUUUCUGAAGAGUCUGCAGCCGGUCUCCAAAGGUCACAGCUCUCUUACUAAGCACAAUCAGCAAGAACUCCUGGUGGCACAGGGGUUUGCGGGGAAAGAUUAUAUCCAAAGUUGGAAGUGAUUUUUAAAUCUGUACCUAAAUUUAAAAGAAUAAGCAGCACAGUUGUCCAGAGUUCAUUUUGCCAUUAAACACAGGAACUCUUGGGCACCAGGAGGUGAAAGCGGCCAGACCAGAGGGCCUCUGACCACCUACAUCGAUGACAAUACAGAAACCGAAGGUGCGUGUCAGCCUUCCUGCGCUCCCACUGCGGGCGGAGUAAUAAGCACAGGCAGUACCCAAAGUGAGGCUCACAGGCUCGGCUGUCCUGCCUGCCCAUGAAGAGUGUCCCUCGCUCCCCUGCUCAUUGAAAGGCACGAAGAGCUUUCCAACACUUGGAACGGGUAAAGAGAACAAGCUCUUGCACAGGCUGCCUCUUAACAUAUGAAGUGCGUUCAAACUCCAACCUAGUUGCCACACGGUCUCCUUAAAACUUCAAUAAAGCAGGAAACAUGUACAGACCUAUGGACUUGUACGUGCCCAAAGCCUUACUUAUCUAUAAACUUUGCUCUUACUAACGAUCAACAGUUAGUUUCCCCAAGGGGAAACACAUAUGCCCGUGAGUAUGAGUUUGCCUUUUGAGGUGUUACGGUCUUGACAGCCUUUUCCAAGAGAAGCCAAGGUUGGGCUGCCAGGGGCCUUCCCUCGAAACAGCAGCGACGGCCACUCCCUGGCUCCUGCUGUCACGAGCCCCAAGCUCAGGCACUGUGACACCCACUCUGGGCCACACUCUCAUCUGGACACAGGUAAAGGGUUAAAAAGGGCCAAUUGUACCUCUCGACAAGACUUCUGUACAUAUUUGGGACAGAAGCGAAUGAAUUCAAAUCUUAUGAGUUGGUCCUCUGGCCCCAGGCUGACUGUGUUUGGGCUGGUUUUGCCAGAAGACUUGAGCUGAGGCGGGAGAUGCUGGAAGUCAGGGGAGCAGCUGCUGCUCCCUCGUCCCAUCUUCCCAGCAGCUGGAGGGAGCCUCCCCAGCCCCAAAGCUAUCGUUUCCACAUUGCAUGCACCUGGAGGAGAAACACCCUUAGAGUCAAAGGCUCAGGAGUCGGGAAGAACACUUCUACACGCAUGGUCCCAUCUCCCCAGAUCCCCAGGGCAGCAUUUUCAGAUGUAACAACUGAAGAGCCAUCCAGAGCAGACGAAGCUGGUUUUGCACCUGAGACGCCGAACGUCUGGGUCUAUGGCCAGCGGUACAGCACGGGGGGCCGCUCAGCGCUGUCUUCGCGCGCGAGGUGAGUCAGGGACCCUGUCCAGGCAAAGCUCAAGGAUCCUGGGGCAGCUGCAGCACAAUGGCAUCUGCUCGGACUACAGGUGCCCAGGGGUGUUUCAGUCGAAUUCUUCCAAGAGUCAUGGUCCAAGCAGGUACUGACACGCUCAAUAGCAUGUUAGAAUCUCAGUUUGAGAUAAGAGCAAAGCAACUCUUCUAAAAAUAGCCACCAAAACACGGGCAGAAGAUCGCUGUGGUCUCGAGAGAAAGGCCGUGGCUCACUUCCUUCCGUACACACAAGCCCUCCAACCACUUCUGUUUCUCGACACGACUGGUAACCAAGGACGUUCUCUGGCACUUCUUCCCCUUCCAGACCUCGGCCACCACUGUCUUCCUAGCGAUCCUGUACAACCUCUCCUCCACCACCUCAAUCAUAAGGACUGGCUUUUUCUGCGAAAUAAGAGGUAGAGUGGAAACACGGGGCUCGGGCCGGACCCAUGUGCCUGAGUCCAGCCCCUGCCCUUGCCUGCUCUGAUGCUACACCUCCUGCACCUGCUUCCACCCCUGUCCACUCCCCACAUUGGUCCAUCCAACAGGAGCCUCCCCUCUCUCCCAAACAGGUAGAUCUCACAAAAGUAUUGCACAACCUGUGAUUUCUCGCUCUCCCACCGUGAAAAGCCAAGGCUGUAGUCAGGUCCAGCCUUCCACAGCUUUCAGACGGGCUGGGCACACAGGGUCCUAACACAAGGCUAUGUGGGCUGUACUCCUGACAUGCAAGACUUGUAGGCAGUCGGGCUUGGGAAUCAUGAAGGAUCAAUCUCGACAAGCCUGUGGAUUCCCAAACUCGGGAAUACCAUGGCUUCCAGCUUCCCUGAGGAAAUGCAGUCACACAUAAUGCCAGAAGGGUCACUGUGUCUGAGCUAAACUAGCUGCCAAGGUGAGCCUGAGAUGCAGAGGCUGGGUUUCUGGGAGCACUUCUGGGCCUCUCAGCCGCCGACACAGUUCAAAUCCGGGCUCAGGGAAACUUUCGUCUCCUCCACAUCACGGUCCUUCCAAGUCACUGAGUGCGGUGGCACAGCUGUAACCCUGCUGGGGCUCCACGCUGAGCCCUGCCCCCCUUUCUCCAAAGCCCAGUCUCACGGGUCUCAUACAACUGUGAGGCUCUGGAAGGGACAGCAAUUAUGACUCUCUCUUGGAGUGGACAACAGAGCUAAAGUGGCAUCGGAGAUGUACUCAGCUGUGGGGAACAGAGGGCAGGACUUUCUUAACUAGAAAAAACUCAUCUCUCAACUCCAACAAGCUUUCCAAGUGCAGGUCCCUAUGGGUGGCCACUAGCCACGUGAAGCUGCAGAGCUCUUGAAACGAAGCUGGUCCCAGGGGAGACGUGCUGUCAGUGUAAAAGCACGCCAGAUUCUGAAGACUCGGUAUCCCCCAAAGACGCAAAACGCCUCAUGUUUUACGUACUGAACACAUGCUGAAUUGAGAGUCUUUUGGGUAUAUCAGGUUAAAUAAAACAUGUUACUAAAAUCUUGCCACCUGUUUCUUUCUUACUUUAUUAAUGUGGCUCCCAGAAGAUUUAAGAUUACAUGUGUGGCUCAUAUACUAUUUCUACGGGACAAAAUGCAAAGGCUUCCAGAGAAAGGGUGAACCUGAUGAAGAUUUGGUUUGAGGCAUCCUUUAUGGAAUUAGACUUCUCACACACCCCACACGCACGGCACGGCGCUGCUCAGUGGAAGCUGCAGGGGCACAGACCUCGGUGGGGCCCCCGCCCUCCUGCAGGGGGGCAGCUGUGCUCGGUAUCAAGGCCCCUCUGUUCUGACGGCUUCACAGUCAUUCAUUCUUAACAUGUCCAAAUAAUACACCAGUAAGCAACUUACAGGUUUUGAGAGGGCAGGAUCU